AUCUGUCCUGUCAGGGGGUGAAGGAUGACUCGUCAAUGAUCGUUAAAGUGACGGCGGGUCGUGCCAACACCUAUUCGAACACACAACGAUUCGUACGUGCUAGAUCCACCCUACUUCGGUGGACGUGCACGUCAAUUUUUGAAAGCCUCGCUGUCUGUGGUGGGGCUCCAAUAACUCUGAAUGGAUAUCUUAACCAAGAAAAAUGGUGGGGCUCCAAUAACUCUGAAUGGAUAUCUUAACCAAGAAAAAUACCACCAGCCAUUUCCUGAUACGUGUAUUUUCAUCCUGUAUACUUCAUUAGGAAUCAAAACAUGUAAUUAUAUUAAAAUUUAUUAGGAAUCAAAACUAAAAUUGUAAUUAUAUUAAAAUUUAGAUAUAUGUAUUUCAUUAGUUCUCUAAAUAUAAUUCAUAUUAAAAUUCAAAGUUCUAAAGAACGUUAGGUCAUCUUUAAUCGAUGAUCUAAUCGAUGGCUGACUAGAGAGCUCGUUUUAGCCCUCUGGCCUUCCAAGAUUCUCUAAGAUAUUAAUAUUUUAAUGAACAGUACAUGGCUAUAUUUGUCUUCGUCUCCAACCGAGAGCCAGAGAGCCAGAGGGCUCAUUUGAGCCAUUUCACAAAAAACCGUCUCCAACCGAGGGCCAAACAUAAUUUAUUAUGUUUUUUAAAAUGUUGUUUAAGUUUCAUGUUGUAUAAUUUUUAUGUUGGUUAAUGUUAUUUAAUGUUGUUUCAUAUUGUUUAAUGUUGUUUCAUGUUACUUAAUUUAAUUUAAUGUUGUAUAAUGACUUAGGAAGUUAUAGGAAAAAAAAUAGAAUUUAAAAAAAUAUGAAACAAAUUUUGUGAACUAGAAGUUACAGAAAAAAAUGGAAUUUAAAAAAAAUAUGAAACAAAUUUUGUGAAAUAGAAGUUAUAGGAAAAAAUAGAAGUUAUAUGAAAUUUUUUGUAAAUAAAAAAUAAUAAUAAUAAUGUUAAAAAAAAAAUCAAAUCAAAUCAAAUGCAACGGCUAGUAGCCGUUUCAUUUGAAUUUUUUCUUAAUAAAUCAUG
rnacentral:lncRNA from 1 species